CCCUUAGAUGUCCUGGGCCGCACGCGCGUUACACUGAUGCAUUCAACGAGCUUAUAACCUUGGCCGAGAGGCCUGGGCAAUCUUGUUAACGUGCAUCGUGAUAGGGAUAGAUUAUUGAAAUUAUUAAUCUUGAACGAGGAAUUCCUAGUAAACGCAGAUCAUCAAUCUGCAUUGAUUACGUCCCUGCCCUUUGUACACACCGCCCGUCGCACCUACCGAUUGGAUGGUCCGGUGAAUCUUUAGGACUGUGGCUGAGGCCUUGCCUUGUGCGGGUCUGGCCGUGGGAAUUUAGUUAAACCUUACCAUUUAGAGGAAGGUGAANUCGUANCA
rnacentral:rRNA from 1 species